rnacentral:rRNA from 1 species
CGGUACGAGAUGAGCCCGCGGCCUAUCAGCUUGUUGGUGGGGUAAUGGCCUACCAAGGCGUCGACGGGUAGCCGGCCUGAGAGGGUGGACGGCCACAUUGGGACUGAGAUACGGCCCAGACUCCUACGGGAGGCAGCAGUGGGGAAUAUUGCACAAUGGGCGCAAGCCUGAUGCAGCGACGCCGCGUGAGGGAUGACGGCCUUCGGGUUGUAAACCUCUUUCGACAGGGACGAAGCUUUUUGUGACGGUACCUGUAUAAGAAGCACCGGCUAACUACGUGCCAGCAGCCGCGGUAAUACGUAGGGUGCGAGCGUUGUCCGGAAUUACUGGGCGUAAAGAGCUCGUAGGUGGUUUGUCGCGUCGUCUGUGAAAUUCCGGGGCUUAACUCCGGGCGUGCAGGCGAUACGGGCAUAACUUGAGUGCUGUAGGGGAGACUGGAAUUCCUGGUGUAGCGGUGGAAUGCGCAGAUAUCAGGAGGAACACCGAUGGCGAAGGCAGGUCUCUGGGCAGUAACUGACGCUGAGGAGCGAAAGCAUGGGGAGCGAACAGGAUUAGAUACCCUGGUAGUCCAUGCCGUAAACGGUGGGCGCUAGGUGUGAGGGUCUUCCACGACUUUCGUGCCGUAGCUAACGCAUUAAGCGCCCCGCCUGGGGAGUACGGCCGCAAGGCU